AUCGAGAGAAGCACAACAUAUAGUAAAUGAAAUGGAGUUGGAAUAAUGAACUCUUCGUUGCUUCCGUACAAACUUAUUGGGAAUCUUAUCGGCAACCAAAUGAUAUGGCAAAGUGGUUCGGCCUUUUGUCUAAGCCAAAUGUGGUCAGCCACCUAGCAGUCAGUGUUGCUGUUGUUGUCCGCCAUUUUAGACAAGAUAAACGCAUUUUAGCCGAGAUAAGAUAAAGAGCGAACCACACCGAAGCAAAGUAAUUUAUUUUGCGAAGAAAAAUAUUUUGUUAUUGAUGUAUUUAUUAUAUUUAUAAAACACAACUACAGAAGCUAAAACUAAAGAGUAGUUCUUAUGACACAUUUCGAGUCCAAUUAAAACUAAAACUUUAAUCCAA